rnacentral:rRNA from 1 species
AGUGAACGCUGGCGGUAGGCCUAACACAUGCAAGUCGAACGGCAGCACAGGAGAGCUUGCUCUCUGGGUGGCGAGUGGCGGACGGGUGAGGAAUACAUCGGAAUCUACUUUUUCGUGGGGGAUAACGUAGGGAAACUUACGCUAAUACCGCAUACGACCUACGGGUGAAAGCAGGGGACCUUCGGGCCUUGCGCGAUUGAAUGAGCCGAUGUCGGGUUAGCUAGUUGGCGGGGUAAAGGCCCACCAAGGCGACGAUCCGUAGCUGGUCUGAGAGGAUGAUCAGCCACACUGGAACUGAGACACGGUCCAGACUCCUAGGGGAGGCAGCAGUGGGGAAUAUUGGACAAUGGGCGCAAGCCUGAUCCAGCCAUACCGCGUGAGUGAAGAAGGCCUUCGGGUUGUAAAGCCCUUUUGUUGGGAAAGAAAUCCAGCUGGCUAAUACCCGGUUGGGAUGACGGUACCCAAAGAAUAAGCACCGGCUAACUUCGUGCCAGCCGCCGCGGUAA